rnacentral:rRNA from 1 species
CAUCCGGUCGAUCCUGCCGGAAUCCGACGCUCUCCCCAAGGACACCAGCCAUGCAUGCCCGCACACCCGGGAAGCGGCGGACGGCUCAGGACAACGGUUGCACCCCCCGCGGCGGUCCCUGCUAGCCGGACACCGCUGGCAACCCGGCGCCAAGACGUGCGCGCAAGUGCGGACGCCCGCGGGCGAGCAGCGUGACGCAGCGACGGCCCGCCCGGGCUUCCGGGGCAUCACCCGGUCGGCGCGGUCGCGGCGCGCCGAGGGCCCGACGCCUGGCGGAGAAUCAGGGUUCGACUA